GGGGCUGUCGGCUAGCCAGGUCUAGAGGACAAUAUCCUCGAUGCGUCCGGACAGGCCGCGUGGCUUGGGCCCACGAAAUCGCAGGUUCAAAUCCUGCCAGCCCCACCA
rnacentral:tRNA from 1 species